AAUAAUCGAUUGAUUGGGACUCCACAAAAUGAUUUAAUCAGAAAGAACUUUUAUCCAUUCUGUUCUCAUUUUUUGAAGUUAACAAAUGAUUAUGUCAUUCUGUUUCUUUCAGCUUGUUUUUAUCUCUUUGGUAGGUUUAUGCAGAUGGAACCAGCAGCUUCAUGAUAAGUCAUCCUCAACAUAUCAUCAUAUCCAAACUAUCAGUGGAAAAGAGUCUAAAUACAGUGGAAAAGAGCCUAAAUACAUAAAUGCAUUCCUGCAAUUUUAAUAAAACAUAAUUUAUUACACUUCUUUCACCUUUUA
rnacentral:lncRNA from 1 species